rnacentral:tRNA from 1 species
GCUGACGUAGCUCAAUGGUAGAGCACCGGUUUUGUAAACCGGUGGUUGCGGGUUCAAUUCCCAUCGUCAGCU